GUUCCUCCUCCACCUUCUAACAGGCACAUACACUAAAAGUGGAACAAUACAGAGAGGAUUAGCAUGGCCUCUGUCCAAGGAUGACACACAAUUCAUGAAGCAUUCCAUAUUUAA
ensembl:snRNA U6 U6 spliceosomal RNA